rnacentral:rRNA from 1 species
GGGGCGCAGCAGGCGCGAAAACUUUACAAUGCGGGCAACCGUGAUAAGGAAACUCCGAGUGCCUGUAAUGGCAGGCUGUCCAUCAGUUUAAAACACUGGUGAAGAAAGGGCCGGGCAAGACCGGUGCCAGCCGCCGCGGUAAUACCGGCGGCUCGAGUGGUGGCCACUAUUACUGGGCUUAAAGGGUCCGUAGCUUGAUAGUUAAGUCCCUUGAGAAAUCCACCGGCUUAACUGGUGGGCGUUCAGGGGAAACUGGCUUUCUAGGGACCGGGAGAGGUAAGAGGUACUGCCGGGGUAGGAGUGAAAUCCUGUAAUCC